CUUCUUCUUCCUGUUUCCUACGGCAAGAAAACUUGACAAGGGUUUAAUCACUAAUCAACUGAUGUUCUUUUGUUCCUUUCACUCCUUCUCCGUCUCUCUGUUCAUACCAUCUUCUAUCUGUUCACUUUUCUAAUUCUAAAACUAAUUUUUGUCCUUGGUAUAAUCAAUAAACCUUAACCCAUGUUUUAUUUUGUAGGUACAAACUUUGCUCUUGCUGAUACUAGGUUAAUGCGAUUAAGGUUUUCCCCCGUAAACACAUCACAAUGUCAAAGGUGUUAAUGUAUUGAAGAUGUUGCAGGGUGCUAAUUCAACCUAUAGGUCCAAAAGCUGCACUAGAGUCGCAGAAUCUUCAAGGUGUUAGGGUGGGAGAUUACAAGUUCGUAUAAAAAGUCAUCAGAAGUACAUUAACCUGAUGCAUAUUUGGUACUGAAAUCUAGAUGGUGGGUGUGGUGAAUGAUGCUGGUGUUGGGUGGUGCUGGUGAUGUUGGUGGAACUAUUCUGAAACACCUUAUUUUUGUGAUAAUGAAAUGAAAAUUCUGCUUGGAGAUUUGGUACUACAGAAUACUUGGACAACAGACUAAUAUGUACUCUCUAGGUAUCAUGCGUUUAGUAAUAAUAACAGUGAAGCCACCUAUGUUUUAACUAAUUCUGUAGAGCGGGAACUAGAAAGGGCACACGGUUGAGAGAUGUUGACGCUUACAUGUCUAUUUGGCCUAGCAAUUGAAGUGGUGAUUGCCAAGCUUGCAUGUAUGCGGAGUAUAAGAGACAAAAUAGUCCAGAAUUCCGGAAGAUUGUCUAACCUGAGCUCAAUAAAUUGGGAGAACUUGGUGAAAAUAACAUGGACCACAUAAUGAUUGUUGGAACUGGAGGAAGAGACUCAUUAUCUUGCCACACCAAGUUUUCUCCAUUCGCAAGGCUCUGAUUUUUAGCAAGGGGGUUCGUUGGAGCUGAAAGUGACACAGACAAUACUCAUACUCAAACAGAUGAAGCACCCAAACAACAUAAUGAGUCUUUCGAACCUGCUGCUCUGGUGGUUACUGACAUUCAUGGUAAUGGUCAUUACUGUGCCUAAUCAGCCGACUUUGAUGAAAUAAUCAGUUAUGCCAGACAUUUUCAUGCUGAUUUCACUUCAUGAAAAUGAUAAGUGUUCUUACGGGACAAGGAGUUGGGCAGAAUGGGCCAGUACAUGCAUUGCAAAAAGGACACGGAAAGUCUGCUUUGGAGUCCAGCGUGUAACACAGAUUGCAUGACGGAGCCAAGCAUAAUAAGGGAGGAUGGGGGUCGUGGUUUUAUACGAAUAGCUGAGUAUGAAGAUGAAUUUGGUAAUUCAUCUAAAGGGUGAAAACUAUGUAAGCAGUGAGACUCCUAUGCAGUGGGCAUGAUAGUUCGCGUUGAAUUGUCUGCGUGAGAGAAACAAAUGGAUGUACCCGUGAUUGUCUUGGGGUACUAGAAUGUUAGUUUGGCCAGUCGUGAAAAGCAAGUCUUGAUAUACAAUGGACAGAGCACAAUCAUCAUGAGGACAACGAGAGAGGAAGGAGAAACUGAAUAAAUUUCGGUUUAUAUAUACUGGAGCAUUUCGACAAGGGGAGAUAUUUAGUUUACCAUGUGGAUUAAUACUGCAUUAAGGGCUUGGUAUGGUAUUAUCCCGUACAAGAAAGGUGUGUUUAGUGUAAUUAUUAAGAUCUUGGACUACCAAAAGAUUAAAUGGAACUCUGUAGUUGAAUGUUGUAAUUCGAUUGAAAAUUGGAUUUAAAUGUAAACCUCAAUAUUGUAAAUUA